AGCGAGCUCCUCGGGUAGUUUGAUAGGCUGCUUGGUUUGGGGAUCGCUUCUUGUUUACUGUCCCAUCAGGCCCUUUCGGCCCUGCACCAACACCCUCCUUGGCUUUCUGCGGCCGUGUGGUUAGCACACUGCUCUGCUGGCGUGCUCAAGGCCAACGCCUCGUGCCGGGCAGCGUUUCCAAGGUCAUUCCAGCUCCUCCUCCACGUGCACCUCGUCCUCCAGCUGCUGCAGAUCACGAACCUGGGGGGGACGUACGAGGAGACUGUCCACGGUCUGCGUCGUCCAGCCAACGGGGGGCCUUUGCCGAGCUCGGGAGUUUCCAAGGAGACCUUGGUGGUGGCGCCCCAUCUGCCGUCUCCCCGCCCCCACCACCAGCCUAUUAUUCAUCAUUUAUUCUGGAAACUUCUCCCCGGGGCGCGCGGGAGCCAGGCCCGCGAGGGUGAGGUGCAGGCCGCGCAAGGGUGACUUCCCCACGGACGCUUUCUUCAAAGAACUGGGCCUACAGGCCAGACGUCGAGGCACAACAUGCUGAGGCCGAGGACGAAGGCGUCCGGGGAAGAUCUGUACUCGUCCCAGCGGGGGCCCCGGGAAGCCUUCCCCGAAGACGCAGGGGUAAGUGGGAGUCAUCAGUGGGCUUGUCGGGAGGGUGAGGCAUUCCAUCCCGAAGGUAAGUGAGCAGACAGAAGGCGGGAACGGCAAGCUGAGGGCUGUAUGACUCCUGUGCCCAGACUGGCGGGUCACAAAAGCGGGGGACGGCCAUGGAAAUUGCUUCCUGCAGCGUUCCCUACUGAUCCAACUUCAUCUUAGAACUGGUUGUAAAGAGGAGGCCGGGCUAGUCCCCAGGCUGGGCGUGUUCCACUCCUCACUCUCUGAAGUCCUCGUAUAGCAUUGAAGGGGGGUUUAAAAUAUGUGCCGUGAUUGGUCUUUCUCGGUUGGCUUCUGGAUGUUUCCAAGGGGAGGUUGGUGGACAAGCCAGAUGCGAGCCUCCCACGUUCCACCCUGGUGGGAGCGCUGACUCGAGAAAGCAGCAGCCUUUGGGGGGGGGGUGGGGACCUUAUAAUCCUCCACCAGUGAAGAUGCUGCUCGAGGCCUUUGUCUGCUCACCGAGCAGACACUGUGGGGGUCAGGCCUGUCCUUGACCCCAUCUCCCAGGCAGUCAAUUCAAUCUGGCCAGAAGCGUCCGCUUCCUUGAAGAAACCUUAGCUGUUCUGCAGGGCUCUCCUCGCCAUCCCGUGUACCCUCCGUGGAUCCCUCUAAAAGCCUCUGGGAGAAACGAAUAAGCACACCCCAUAAUUGGUGUUCUCUUGGUUAUUCCGUUCCUUCCGUCCUUCCUUCCUCCCUCCCUCCCUCCCUCCUCCCGCUUGCCUUUUCUUUCUUUCUUGCUUGCUUGCUUGCUUGCUUGCUUGCUUGCUUGCUUGCUUGCUUGCUUGCUUGCUUGCUUGCUUGCUUGCUUGCUUGCUUGCUU
rnacentral:lncRNA from 1 species